UUGUCGUGGUCCCUACGGCAUGAUCGGAAGGGGUGCGGGGUGGAGUCGACGGCCGGGGCCGGACAGCUGCUGGCCAUCAGCGACCUGCACA
rnacentral:sRNA from 1 species